rnacentral:tRNA from 1 species
CGCGCUAUAGCUCAGCUGGGAGAGCGCCUGCCUUGCACGCAGGAGGUCUGCGGUUCGAUCCCGCAUAGCUCCACCA